rnacentral:lncRNA from 1 species
GUUUUUCAUCCAAACGGCAACUCUACCCUCUCACUUUUAUUAGGGAUUGUCCUCUCUCGCCCCUAUUCUCUUUCUCUUUUUUUUUCUCUCUCCUUUCCUCUUUCUUCCCUUCAUCCCCUCCCUUAUUCGCUUUCUUUCGUGUUCUCUACCUUGCUCCUUUCCUUUGUCUUGUAUAUUCUCCCUUUCGUAUUCCCUUUUAUUCUCUCUCUUGCCCAUUCUCUUUCUUCUUCGCUUUUUUCCUCUCUCGUUUUCUCUUUCGCGGGUUUCCUUUCGUGCAGAGACCGGGGGGAAGUUUAUGAGCGACGACGUGUUCGUUUCCGUCGCCCGCGCCCGCGGAGCAGGCCUCGUGGCGCGUUCGUUGUAGCACCGCGAGGAAGAAUUCUUUUUAGCGAAAAUGUCUCGCCACAAAAAGCAGGAGAGAGUGACGUUUGUGCUGAUUCAAGGACGGAACGUGCUGCCCACAGAAAUCGUUUUUCACGUUUUCCUUUUCACACACCCAGCGGCCAAUCGCUGGUGUCGAGACACACCACCUUGGCAGCUCGGCUUGGCCACAACGACUGCUCUCUCGUCAAACGGUCUCUCGCAGUCCGGUGACUACGAUCUUCAGAGCUCUCGGACUUAACCCUAAAUUGCUCAACUUCGACACCACGCGACAGCUC